AUCGCUUCUCCGCCUUAGGACUAAGAUCAAGUGUACUACGUGCUCUUAUCGGUUUAAUAUCUGAUAUGUUCUCCGUGCAAGAACUGCAUAUUAAAUUAAAUUUUGAAGACAGAAGCUUGGAUGAGAGCUUGUUCUGUCUGCUUCACGCAUGAACCUGGUAUUGCAGUAUUUCCAGGAACAGUGCACUGCUU